CCUUUCUUUCGAUUUUCAUCUCAUUCUUCAUUUUCUUUUCUCUUUCUCUUUCUCUCCUCCUGCCUCUCUUCUCCACACUCGUUAAUCAUCUGAAAGGUUAGCGAGUUUAGGGUUUCGAUCUGUGGUCCGUCGGAGUUGGAGCUUUGAAGAACUGAUCUUGAUUCUCCACUUUGAAGGGGAUACUGGAAUCGAGAUCAAUCGUCCGAUAUUAUAGGUGCAGAUUGGAAACCUUGGAAACCACAGAUCAAUCGUCCUGUCACUGGAUGAUUCUGUAAACAUCUACUUUCUAAUGCACUAGCUAAUUUGGAGAAUCACGAUAUGGUGAUAAUAAUCUUUCCCUUCCCAAUAUUUUUUCUUGAAUGGAAAUCCAAAUUGUCAAUGUCUUAUGUUGAUUAUUUUAUGAUAGUUACAACUUGUUGUAAUUGAUUAUCGAGCUGUUGUACCUAAAAAAAGAUAUCAAAGCCAGUUCAAAAGAAGAAAGAAAGCUCCAACCUUAUCUGCAGUUUUAUUUGCUCGUAGCAAGGAACCCAUUGUGGACAUUGAUGGAGGAGAUGCUGAUAACCAGUUGGCAGCUGUGGAGUACGUCGAGGAUUUUUACAAAUAUUACAAGCUUGCAGGGGUGGCUCUCUUUAAUUUUAGUUUUCUUGCUCAAGUUUUAACUGAUAAAUCAUUAUUGAAGUAAUUGUAUCUAAUUUUAUAUUCCCAUACUGCAGAAGUCAAGCCUAAUUCAUGACUAUAUGGGGGGGUUCACAACAACAAAUUAACGAGAGCCAUAAGAUGAUUCUUGUAGUCUAAUUGAGACAAUGUGAAAAAAGUCAUGAUCCCAUUGCAGCUCAGAAUGACGUCAUUACCAUUAUGAUUUUAAUAUGAGAAAAUGUAUAUAUAACGAUCAUCAUAUUCUGACCGGAGUCUUUUCUUAAAAAAAAAUAGCCCUUGAUGUCGCUGAUCUAUUUUGUUAGGUGAAUUCACUGUUAAUGUUAUUGUUCUUUACUUGGAGGUGAUAAUCCUAUUUGUUUAAAGGAUUGGAAAGAAAACACGGAAGAGCUACAGAGAAAUUGAGGAAUAGAUUUGCUGGUUUUGGAAGCUUUUACGCAGACACAGGUAAUCAUGUGUUGUGAUCUUAAAAUAUUUGCGUGAAGCCUAACUCUUUGAGUCGACAUCAAAGGUUUGAGAAUCUGAGUGUUUUGCAUCAGCUAAGAUGUGGGGUUAGUUUACUUCCUUCUUAAUGUAGUUUGAAUUUCUCAUGCUUCAAUUUUGUAUCUGCUGAACAUUUAAUUUCUUGAUAAGAAAGUGGAUGAAUUGGAUAAAGCGAUUGUUGUGGCAUCUAGAGACCCGUCCUGAUAUGACAUUGAUGAAGUGGAGAUUGAGAAACGUAGAAGAUGGACUAGCAUUGCUCGCACUCAGGUGGGUUUCAUGAAGAAAGCUGUCGAAGCUGGAAAAUCUAAAAGUGGAAACGGUACCCGCCAGGAAGUCUAACUUACAUGAAUCUCUCGACAAAUCAUUUCAGAGGAUGGAUUCCUUUUGAACUUGGGAGAAUUGGAUCUUUCGAGCAAUAAAUUUUCAGGACAAGUGCCAUCUUCUGUUAGAGCAUCAGCUUACCUUGAUUCUAACUAAUAACAAUUUUUGAAGGGAACUUCCAUCUCAAUUGAAUUUGCCAUUAUGAACUUAAAUUCAGGGGUUAUGGAGAACUUGAUUGAGAAUGCAACUAGUGUUUGUGAAGUAGCUGCAAGUUUGGAGUAAGUUUCUAUGUAGUGUUUGAGCUGAACUUAGAGUGAUUUAACUGAGAAUGAACUGAACUUAGGAAGUUUCUAUGUAUUCCCUUAGAAAUUUUUUGGUACUUACUACUUACAGAAUAUUGAUAUGAAUUAAAUGAAUGUUGAUGUGAAUUGAAUUGAAUUAUGAAACUAUUGUUGAAUGUGGAUGAUGGAUGGAAUGAAAGGUA